UACGUAGGGUGCAAGCGUUGUCCGGAAUUAUUGGGCGUAAAGCGCACGUAGGCGGCUUAGCAAGUCGGAAGUGAAAUCCCACGGCUCAACCAUGGAAGUGCUUUCGAAACUGCGUAGCUAGAGUCCUGGAGAGGAAGGUGGAAUGCUUGGUGUAGAGGUGAAAUUCGUAGAUAUCAAGCGGAACACCGGUGGCGAAGGCGGCCUUCUGGACAGUGACUGACGCUGAGACGCGAAAGCGUGGGGAGCAAACAGG
rnacentral:rRNA from 1 species